GUUUGGUGAGGCUCCAGCAGUCUCUGGUAGAGAAGGCUAAAGAUUAUGUAAAACGUCAGCUCCUAGGAUUCCACAGCAUUGAGCCAUGGCAGGGCAGCUUGAAGAGAAUCAGAUCCUGUUACAUGCUAAAUGCUGCCGAGGAUGUCCCAAAUGUGUCAGCUUCUGUUUUGUUCCUCUCGCUUUGGUUUGUGGUACACUGAAAGCAUAAUCAAGAUCUGAUCAGAAGGGAUGAUGCUACUAGCAACCUGCUGGCUUCUAGCUGCUGCCAUGAUACUGAUCAAGGUGGAGGCUGGAGGGCAGAGUUAAGCCGGGAACUCAACAGCACGGCUUCCUGCUGCAUUGCCCAGUUCCUCUUCCUUGGAGGUCUCUUUAAGGAAGGACUUGAAGUGAACAAAUGAACACUUGCCUUUGCUGGAGCACAGUCCAAAGGAGACAAAUGAUCUUCUAGGAGAUUCAAAUGAAUAUUUGAGCACUUCAUUCUGUGGUACUCUCUGCUAAGUCACCCUGCACCAUAUUAGUGGAUGUCUAUAUAGAGGACUGUUUUAUUCAAAAGCAAUAAUUGUUCGUACACAAUUUGCCUUUGCCUUC
rnacentral:lncRNA from 11 species